CUGAGGCUAAACCGCGAUAGAUCAAGAUAUCUGGAAUGGUUUUUGAUCAAAAUCUAUAUGGCCUUUGGAUUGGACUGCGUCCGAUCAGGCUGUUGGUGAGGUAAUGGCCCACCAAACCUGUAACCGGUACGGGCUCUGAGAGGAGGAGCCCGGAGAUGGGUACUGAGACAAGGACCCAGGCCCUAUGGGGCGCAGCAGGCGCGAAACCUCUGCAAUAGGCGAAAGCCUGACAGGGUUACUCUGAGUGACUUUCGCUAAGAAAGUCUUUUGACACCUCUAAAAAUGGUGUAGAAUAAGGGGUGGGCAAGUCUGGUGUCAGCCGCCGCGGUAAUACCAGCACCCCGAGUGGUCGGGACGAUUAUUGGGCCUAAAGCAUCCGUAGCCGGUUUUACAAGUCCUCCGUUAAAUCCAGCUGCUUAACAGAUGGGCUGCGGAGGAUACUAUAAGACUAGGAGGCAGGAGAGGCAAGCGGUACUCAGUGGGUAGGGGUAAAAUCCGUUGAUCCAUUGAAGACCACCAGUGGCGAAGGCGGCUUGCCAGAAUGCGCUCGACGGUGAGGGAUGAAAGCUGGGGGAGCAAACCGGAUUAGAUACCCGGGUAGUCCCAGCUGUAAACGAUGCAGACUCGGUGAUGGACUAGCUUUAUGCUAGUCCAGUGCCGCA
rnacentral:rRNA from 1 species